UACGAAGGGGGCUAGCGUUGCUCGGAAUCACUAGGCGUAAAGCGCACGUAGGCGGCUUUCUAAGUCAGGGGUGAAAUCCUGGAGCUCAACUCCAGAACUGCCUUUGAUACUGGCGAUCUCGAGUCCGGGAGAGGUGAGUGGAACUGCGAGUGUAGAGGUGAAAUUCGUAGAUAUUCGCAAGAACACCAGUGGCGAAGGCGGCUCACUGGCCCGGUACUGACGCUGAGGUGCGAAAGCGUGGGAGCAACAGG
rnacentral:rRNA from 1 species